CUGAUACCUAAAUUCUUUCAUUCACAGUUCUGAUCAUUUUUUUUUCUCAUAUUUUUAGAGACUAUGUCUCACUAGGUCUUGCUAGGCUGGUCUUGAGCUCCUAGACUCAAGCAAUCCUCCUGCCUAAGCCUCCUGAGUAGCUGGAAUUACAGGCGUGCACCACUGCACCUGGCUCUGAUCCCUUUUUUUAGUGAAAGAUUUUGAGUGAAAUGAUUCAUCGCUUGAGUGAAAUAAUGAAUUAAAGAAUAUGAGCAUUCUUGAGGCUACCAGGAUUUUCCAAGGCCCCUUUGCACACCGCAUUUACACGGCAUUCUCCUUCAGCCAAAUUCCCUAAAUUCACAAGAGGCCUGAUUUAGGGAAGGUCACUGAUUCAGCUGGAGAGUUAAUUAUUCAUUUGAAUUGGUUUAUGCAAAAAGCUCCAGAGAGCCCACAAGAAUAAAUUGAAAAGCUAUUAGAACAGGCAAAUUUAAUAAAGUGGCUGGAUGCAAAAUUCAAUAGCUUCCUCAUCAACUAGCAAUAACCAAUUAGAAGAUAUAAUGGGGGUGGGUGGAUGGGGAAGCAGAGAUAGCAACAAUAACAAAAACACCUCAAAUCUACUGCACCAGUGUUAGAAAUGGAAACUAUCUCUUAUAACUUUGUAGACUUUUUUAGAAACCCAUGAAAUAAUUAAUUCAAUGGGAAAUCAUGCCAUGUUCCCAAAUGGAAAGGCUGCAUGUGCUGCAGAGUUGACCUGUAGGUUGAACACAAUCCAAUUAAAAGUCCAAGGAGAUUUGCUGCUUUGUUGUUGUUAAGCAUGCCACAGUUCUUCUAAAGUUUACUCAGAAGAAAUACAUAGGCAAGAAUAGCUGAGAAAAAAAAUGUGAAGAUGAAUAAGGAGGAAUUUUGCCUUAUCAGAUAUUAAAUAUACAAUAAAGCUAAAAUAAUGAAA
rnacentral:lncRNA from 1 species